rnacentral:rRNA from 1 species
GAUGAACGCUGGCGGCGUGCCUAAUACAUGCAAGUCGAGCGAACGGACGAGAAGCUUGCUUCUCUGAUGUUAGCGGCGGACGGGUGAGUAACACGUGUAUAACCUACCUAUAAGACUGGGGUAAGUUCGGGAGAGCGGAGCUAAUACAGGAUAAGAUGGUGAACCGCAUGGUUCAAAAGUGAAAAACGGUCUUGCUGUCACUAAGAGAUGGAUCCGCGCUGCAUUAGCUAGUUGGUAAGGUAACGGCUUACCAAGGCGACGAUGCAUAGCCGACCUGAGAGGAUGAUCAGUCACACUGGAACUGAGACACGGUCCAGACUCCUACGGGAGGCAGCAGUAGGGAAUCUUCCGCAAUGGGCGAAAGCCUGACGGAGCCACGCCGCGUGAGUGAUGAAGGUCUUCGGAUCGUAAAGCUCUGUUAUUAGGGAAGAACAUAUGUGUAAGUAACUGUGCACAUCUUGACGGUACCUACUCAGAAAGCCACGGCUAACUACGUG